rnacentral:rRNA from 1 species
CAGCAGUGGGGAAUAUUGCACAAUGGGCGCAAGCCUGAUGCAGCCAUGCCGCGUGUAUGAAGAAGGCCUUCGGGUUGUAAAGUACUUUCAGCAGUGAGGAAGGUGGGUAUGUUAAUAGCAUACUCAUUUGACGUUAGCUGCAGAAGAAGCACCGGCUAACUCCGUGCCAGCAGCCGCGGUAAUACGGAGGGUGCGAGCGUUAAUCGGAAUUACUGGGCGUAAAGCGCAUGCAGGUGGUUUGUUAAGUCAGAUGUGAAAGCCCGGGGCUCAACCUCGGAAUUGCAUUUGAAACUGGCAAACUAGAGUACUGUAGAGGGGGGUAGAAUUUCAGGUGUAGCGGUGAAAUGCGUAGAGAUCUGAAGGAAUACCGGUGGCGAAGGCGGCCCCCCUGGACAGAUACUGACACUCAGAUGCGAAAGCGUGGGGAGCAAACAGGAUUAGAUACCCUGGUAG